AUUGAACGCUGGCGACAGGCCUAACACAUGCAAGUCGAGCGGAUGAAGGGAGCUUGCUCCUGGAUUCAGCGGCGGACGGGUGAGUAAUGCCUAGGAAUCUGCCUGGUAGUGGGGGAUAACGUCCGGAAACGGGCGCUAAUACCGCAUACGUCCUGAGGGAGAAAGUGGGGGAUCUUCGGACCUCACGCUAUCAGAUGAGCCUAGGUCGGAUUAGCUAGUUGGUGGGGUAAAGGCCUACCAAGGCGACGAUCCGUAACUGGUCUGAGAGGAUGAUCAGUCACACUGGAACUGAGACACGGUCCAGACUCCUACGGGAGGCAGCAGUGGGGAAUAUUGGACAAUGGGCGAAAGCCUGAUCCAGCCAUGCCGCGUGUGUGAAGAAGGUCUUCGGAUUGUAAAGCACUUUAAGUUGGGAGGAAGGGCAGUAAGUUAAUACCCUGCUGUUUUGACGUUACCAACAGAAUAAGCACCGGCUAACUUCGUG
rnacentral:rRNA from 1 species